rnacentral:rRNA from 1 species
GUGCUGAUCACCGUAUUCGGCGGCAGAAAAGCACGCGGUGCAGAUGGCGGAGCGCAUCAGCGAGGCAAGUUGCAGCAAGGUCAGAAUGAUCUGCAGCUGGCGAGCUAAUGGAAAAACGGCCAUGGAAUCACGCACGGCAUAUCAAACGGACACGCGAGAUGCUAGUCAGAAGGGCGCUAUUCUGAAGGUUGGUCAACCAUAUGAUACAAUUUCAUCACGGCCAUGUGUAUCACAAUUUAAAAAACCUGCCUCCCAUCCGCGAGGUCCUCCAUGUUUUUCUUCUUCUUCUUCUUCUUCUUCUUCUUCUUCUUUCUUUGCGGCACCGACGCCCCCCCAUGUCUGUGCACCCCUGUCCCCAGCUUGCGUUUUCCAGGUUAAUUUAAUGUCGUUUUCCGUUGAAUUCUUUGGCGAUUCUUUGCUUGCCAUGCCGGGAGACAGCAAAAAGAUGAGGGUGCGAGUCAUUGUAUAUCCAGGCAGAGAUUCAAAGUUCCCAGUUAUUAUCUUCUCCAAGAUGAUCUCGGGGAAAUAAUGCAGAAUCACAGAGUUGCCGUGGGCACGAUGGUUCAUAGUUGACGAAAAAGAGUUUCUCUCCGCUUUAUAUUAAUAUAUACUAAAGCAACUCGAUGGUUCAUAGUUAAACUUAAUUAAGCGUGAUUCGGAACGAGCAAUCGAUCCACUAGUAGACUUUUAUUUUAUUUACGUAAAAAAGCGCACAGUUCCAGCCUCCGGGAGCAGAAAAGAAAUGGAAAAGGCGAACGGCCGGGAUGGUAAUAAAGUAGUUGCAACCUGGACUGGGCAAUCUCCCCUGCCAUUCUGCUGUUGCGUUCGCGCUGCGAUUCCUCCCAUGUGCCCCAAACAAUUCCGUUUGCUGGAGCAGCACGAAAUGCCAAGCCCAUAGAUCUGGCGACCAGCACCACGUACCACCAGUACCACGCUUACUUGCAAGGCAUGUAAAAUCGGUCUGGCCACUGAGUGAGUUCGCCAUUAAAAUCUCAGCUGACGUCCAUUGACCUACCAACAUAAAUGUAUCGGGUUUGCAGCUCGAUCGCGAUCGCGAUCACGACGACGACGACGACGAGAAGCGAGCUCCGGCUGAGAUCUUGUUGCCCGUGAACGAAAUCCGAGCGGAGGCUUCGGAAAGUCCAAAGGCGCGCAAAGCAAGCAAGCGUUGGCUCAGUUCUCGUGGGACGAAAGGAAAAGGGAAAGCGGAGGGAGGCGCGCGCGCGAGGAAACGUGGUUUCCAUGAAGUGCCAGCGAUUGUAAUCGUUCUACCGACCAGCGGAGCGAGCUCGAAUAAACUAAUGGCGAUCGCUUUCCAAAUCAUCGUCUAGUUAGUGGUACUAAGUUGUAUCGUUCUCCCCGGCCACUACCGCCGCGCUGUGAUGUGCCCGUGCCCGCGCCUAUCUAUUUGUCCAUUAUCGUAUCGUAUCCAUUUCUUAAUUCCUCUCCUCCCCCCGACUUAACUAAUCAUCGCCGGCAGGGCCUGCCAUUGAUCUGCUACUUGAGGAAUGCGUUGCGGUUGUGGAUGCUACUUGUAGUACCACAAGGAGGGGAUAGGGGCUCUGUGGCUCUCUCUGCUUUCUGAGGUCGUGCCGAGAUGAAGGUCCCUCUCCCUGUCAGGAGCAAGAGCUUCAAGAAGAGCAGGGGAGCCUCAUGCAGCCUCCCCCUCCUGCUGCUCAUCGGGGCCGUCCAGUUCUUGGUGAUUGGCAAGCCUUUUCCGUCGCUCUUGAUGGAUAGCAGCAGGAGGAGAGCCUUCUUCAAUCUCGCAGAGGAGGAGUUCAUCCCGGAGCCUCAGGUGAGCUGCGACUUCAAUGACACGAGAUCCGACUACUGCGAGAUGGCCGGCGCCAUCCGCGUCCGCGGGAGCACGUCGGAGGUGUUCGUCAUGACCCCUCGCCGCGGCACCACCGCCGGGGACGUCGUCGGCCACAACGCGACGUGGAUCGCCCCCAACGCCACGAGCUGGAAGAUGCAGCCGUACACGCGCAAGGGGGAGGCCCGCAUCAUGAACGGCAUCACGGCGGUGACGGUGCGGCUGGCGGACGCCGACGAGGCCCCCGCGUGCGAGGUGAUGCACGACGUGCCGGCCGUGGUGUACUCCAACGGCGGCUACUGCGGCAACUACUACCACGACUUCAACGACAACAUCAUCCCGCUCUUCAUCACCACGCGCCACCUGGGCGGCGAGGUGCAGCUGCUGGUGAAGCAGAAGCAGGCGUGGUGGUUCCGCAAGUACGGCGAGAUCGUGGACGGGCUGACGCGGCACGAGGCGCUGGAUCUCGACGGCGACGCGCGCGUGCACUGCUACCGGCGGGCCUUCGUGGGGCUGCGCAGCCACAAGGACCUGAGCAUCGACCCGCGCCGCGCGCCCAACAACGUGUCCAUGGUGGACUUCAAGCGCUUCCUCAUGUGGCGCUACGCGCUGCCGCGGGAGCACGCGAUCCGGACAGACGACGAGGUGGUCGGCGGGCGGAGGCCGCGGCUGCUGAUCAUCACGCGGCGGUCGCGGCGGCGGUUCAUGAACCUGGAGGAGAUCGUGGCCGCGGCGGAGGAGCUCGGCUUCGAGGUGACGGCGUCGGACCUGAUGUCGCCGCCCAAGAAGCAGGGCGGCGAGGCGGCGGCGGCCGUGGUGGGCGACGGCGGGCAGGCGCGGAUGGCGGACGCGUCGGCGACGGCGAACGCGUUCGACGUGAUGCUGGCGGUGCACGGGUCCGGGCUGACGAACCUGCUGUUCCUGCCGAUGAACGCGGUGGUGGUCCAGGUGGUGCCGCUGGGGCGGAUGGAGGGCCUGGCCAUGGACGAGUACGGCGUGCCGCCGCGGGACAUGAACAUGCGCUACAUCCAGUACAACAUCACGGCGGAGGAGAGCACGCUGUCGGAGCUCUACCCGCGCGGCCACCCGGUGUUCCUCGACCCCGGCCCCAUCCACAAGCAGAGCUGGUCGCUCGUCAAGGACAUCUACCUCGGCAAGCAGGACGUGCGCCUCGACAUGGCCCGCUUCCGGCCCGUGCUCCAGAAGGCGCUCGACCUCCUCCGGUGACACGCGCACUGACACGUCACACGCCGGCGCCGGCGCCGGCGACGACGACACAUACAUACACAUCAUGUUAAUCAGACCAACUUUUUCUCCCCUUCUUCUUCUCGUUCUUUGUCGACAUGAAAUCAAAGGUGUACACAAAUUGAUUCUAGUUUUUUGGCCGGUGCAUGGACGACAGGGUGGCGACGUUUUUGUUGUAUGAUGAUUGAUUGUAGUCGAGUCGUUUUCCCGGAGCCGUGACGGGCGUACGUGUCUGGCAAGGCAGCUAAGCGCCAACAACAAGAGGAAGAAAACAACGUCAUGUGAGGCAUC